UUACGAUCAUUAAUUGCUCCUGAAUCUCCUCAUUACUCUGCAAUUUAGAGUACCAAUUUGCAUUUAAUUUGAUGUGCCAUUUCUUUUAGGAUUUGAUCGUUUUUGUUUUGUCUCUCUCUCUCUCUCUCUUCGCUUUGCUCUGAUUAUCCAUCUUUUGUGAUGAUGUUUUGUCGUCAUUUACAAUCCUCAAAGCUUCCGAUGAUGAUUAAGCCUAAUGUUAGGCCAAAAGUUUGGAGGAGUAAUCAUGUUGUCCUAUCAUUGAGAUUUUAUAUCUCGAUCUUUCAUUCAAGCUUAAGGUAAAGGCAAGGGCAAACUUGAUCAACCCUGACUUGGAGAGCUCUAUGAGCAGAAUGUACAUGACCAGCUGCUCAGCCGCCACGGUUGUGAGGAUAACAGGAACAGAAAAUCUAUAACUGUCUGUUUUGCCUUAGAGUGGCUGACAGUAGUCUGUAUUGUGGAAAUUUUGUAAACUAACUUUUAAAUACUAUCCCUUUUUGGGAUCCCAUAUGUAAAUUUGUUUGAAAUUAUAUGAAAUGUAUCUUUUGAGACCAAAACCA